UGAUUCCAGUGUAUAAGCUCGCUCCUCCGACUUAUGCUCGCAUAAGAGAGGAGGAGUGAGCUUAAGACACGCCCCGACAUGAGCAGGAAGCGGAGCGAAGCGCCGCGGGAGUGCGAAUGGCGGGGCGCAUGGCGAAAGCUGCGAAGCAGCGAAGGCAUGCGGAAUCA
rnacentral:sRNA from 1 species